CCUACGGGGGGCACCAGUGGGGAAUAUUGCACAAUGGGCGCAAGCCUGACGCAGCCAUGCCGCGUGUGUGAAGAAGGCCUUCGGGUUGUAAAGCACUUUCAGCGAGGAGGAAGGCGGUGAAGUUAAUAACCUCAUCGAUUGACGUUACCCGCAGAAGAAGCACCGGCUAACUCCGUGCCAGCAGCCGCGGUAAUACGGAGGGUGCAAGCGUUAAUCGGAAUUACUGGGCGUAAAGCGCACGCAGGCGGUCUGUCAAGUCGGAUGUGAAAUCCCCGGGCUCAUCCUGGGAACUGCAUUCGAAACUGGCAGGCUAGAGUCUUGUAGAGGGGGGUAGAAUUCCAGGUGUAGCGGUGAAAUGCGUAGAGAUCUGGAGGAAUACCGGUGGCGAAGGCGGCCCCCUGGACAAAGACUGACGCUCAGGUGCGAAAGCGUGGGGAGCAAACAGGAUUAGAUACCCGAGUAGUC
rnacentral:rRNA from 1 species